GGCCUAUUGAGAGAAGAUUUUAGGUCUAACCUGCCCCCUGAAGUAUUUAAAUGGCCGCAGUAUUUUGACUGUGCUAAGGUAGCAUAAUAAUUAGUUUUUUAAUUGAAAGCUAGAAUGAAUGGUAUUAUGAAAAAAUUACUGUCUCUUUUAAAAAAUUAAAAUUUUAUUUUUAAGUUAAAAAGCUUAAAUAUUAUUAAAAGACGAGAAGACCCUAUAGAAUUUUAUUUAAAUUUAUUUUUAAUAAGUUAGUAUGUAAAAUUUAAAAAUAAAUUUAUAUUUAGUUGGGGUGAUUAGAAAAAUAAAGUAUCUUUUUUUUAUAUAAACAUUAAUUUAUGAUUUUAUGAUUCACAUUAGUGAUUUAAGAAUAAAUUACCUUAGGGAUAACAGCGUAAUUUUUUUUUAGAGUUCUAAUCAAAAAAAAAGAUUGCGACCUCGAUGUUGGAUUAAAGUUUAUUUUUGGUGUAGUAGCUAAAAUAUUAAGUCUGUUCGACUUUGAAAAUUUUACA
rnacentral:rRNA from 1 species